rnacentral:rRNA from 1 species
UACGGGGGGUGCGAGCGUUGUCCGGAAUCACUGGGCGUAAAGGGCGCGUAGGUGGUCUGAUAAGGGUGUGGUGAAAGUCCGGGGCUCAACCCCGGAUCUGCCGUGCCGACUGUCAGACUCGAGGACUGUAGAGGCAGGCGGAAUUCCGGGUGUAGCGGUGGAAUGCGUAGAGAUCCGGAGGAAGACCGGUGGCGAAGGCGGCCUGAGC